rnacentral:rRNA from 1 species
UACGGGGGGGGCAAGCGUUGUUCGGAAUUACUGGGCGUAAAGCGUGCGCAGGCGGUUUGCUAAGACAGGUGUGAAAUCCCCGGGCUUAACCUGGGAACUGCGCUUGUAACUGGCAAGCUGGAGUGUGGCAGAGGGGGGUGGAAUUCCACGUGUAGCAGUGAAAUGCGUAGAGAUGUGGAGGAACACCGAUGGCGAAGGCAGCCCCCUGGGCUAACACUGACGCUCAUGCACGAAAGCGUGGGGAGCAAACAGG